UACAGUCUCGAGGACGAACUAUGUGCAGGAGGACAUUUUCAUCCUCGAGACUGUGCA
rnacentral:pre_miRNA from 1 species